AUGUGGGUAUCUACCCUUUGGCCUGGAAUAACACGAGGAAACUUGUGCUAAUACCGGAUAAGUCUUUACGGAGAAAGCUUUAUGCACCAUUGGAUGAGCCCGCACUUGAUUAGUUUGUUGGUAGGGUAAUGGCCUACCAAGACUAUGAUCAAUAGCUGAUUUGAGAGGAUGAUCAGCCACAUUGGGACUGAGACACGGCCCAAACUCCUACGGGAGGCAGCAGUGGGGAAUCUUGCACAAUGGAGGAAACUCUGAUGCAGCGAUGCCGCGUGAGUGAAGAAGGCCUUUGGGUUGUAAAGCUCUUUCGUCGGGGAAGAAAAUGACUGUACCCGAAUAAGAAG
rnacentral:rRNA from 1 species